AUUGAACGCUGGCGGCAUGCCUUACACAUGCAAGUCGAACGGCAGCACGGGAGCAAUCCUGGUGGCGAGUGGCGAACGGGUGAGUAAAGUAUCGGAACGUGCCCAGUCGUGGGGGAUAACGUAGCGAAAGUUACGCUAAUACCGCAUACGAUCUAUGGUUGAAAGCGGGGGAUCGCAAGACCUCGCGCGAUUGGAGCGGCCGAUAUCAGGUUAGGUAGUUGGUGGGGUAAAGGCUCACCAAGCCGUCGAUCUGUAGCUGGUCAGAGAUGACGACCAGCCACACUGGGGCUGGGAAACGGCCCAGACUCCUACGGGAGGAGGCAGUGGGGAAUUUUGGACAAUGGGCGAAGGCCUGAUCCAGCCAUGCCGCGUGCAGGAUGAAGGCCUUCGGGUUGUAAACUGCUUUUGUACGGAACGAAAAGGUUUGGCCUAAUAAGCUGAGCUCAUGACGGUACCGUAAGAAUAAGCACCGGCUAACUACGUGCCAGCCGCCGCGGUAA
rnacentral:rRNA from 1 species